AACACGUGUUUCACUGGGACAAUAGUGAGUGGUGCACACUUCCUUCGCCCGGCCACAGAAGACAAAAAAGAGUUGCUGGUGUAACAAUAGGAAGAAUAUAUUCCACUCCUCUCUUGUACACGCGGCUUAUGAGAUGAACGCUCGUCAAGAAGAACGUCCCCUUCAGCAACAGGAGGAUCCACAGCCCCCCCACAUUAAAGAGGAAGAGGAGGAAGUGUGGAUCAGUCAGGAGGGAGAGUGUCCUGUAGGGCAGGAGGAGGCUGAUGUCAGCAAGUUUCCACUGACUGUUGUCUCUGUGAAGACUGAAGAGCAUGAAGACAAACCACCUGAGUCCUCACAGCUUCAUCACAGUCCAAACGUCUGUGAAGAACAUCUUCUCCCUGAGCAACAGACGUGGAGCUUCAGGAUGGAGCCACAGCCCUCCCACAUUAAAAAGGAAAAGAAACACCCACUGAUCCCCCAUUUUAAAGCGGAAGAGGAUGACCCACUGACCACUCACAUCAAAGAGGAAGAGGAGGACUCAUUGACCCCCAAUUUUAAAAAGGAAGAGGAGAAGCCACUAAUAACCCAUUUUAAAGAGGAAGAGGAGGACCUACUGACCCCUUACUUUAAAGAGGAAGAGGAGGACUCAUUGACCCCCAAUUUUAAAAAGGAAGAGGAGAAGCCACUAAUAACCCAUUUUAAAGAGGAAGAGGAGGACCUACUGACCCCUCACUUUAAAGAGGAAGAGGAGGACCAAGAGCCGCCACACAUUAAAGAGGAAGAGGAGGACCAAGAGCCGCCGCACAUUAGAGAGGAAGAGGAGGACCAAGAGCCGCCGCACAUUAAAGAGGAAGAGGAGGAAGAGGGCAUCAGUCAGCCUAAAUGGUUGGAGGAGUUCCCAGUGACUGGUGUCCCUGUGAAGAGUGAAGAUGAUGAGGUGAAAGGUGAAAGUGAGGAGAGGGGAGGGGGGGAGCCUCCAAGCAGCAGCUCAACACAACACAUGACAACAGAAGCUGAUGGAGACCACUGUGGAGGAUCACAAGCAGACAAGCUCUUAGCUCCACUAUCAGAUAGUGAGGACACAACGUCACACUCUCCUGACACUGAUGAUGAAGACUCUAAAGAUGAUAAGACAUGUCACACUGACAACACUCACUUCACAUCUUCUCACUCUCACAAAACCUUUAAAUACCAUUGUCUUCUGAAAAGACACAUGAGAACACACACUGGAGAAAAACCUUUUUCUUGUUCACUCUGUAGUAAAGGUUUUAGACAAAGUAUCAAUUUGAAAGUACACAUGAGAACACACACUUGUGAAAAACAUUUUUCCUGUUCAACCUGUGGUAAAGGUUUUACACAAAGUCAGAGUUUGAAAAUACAUAUUAGAACACACACUAGAGAAAAACCUUUUUCUUGUUCACUCUGUAGUAAAGGUUUUACACAAAGUAUCAAUUUGAAGGUACACAUGAGAACACACACCAGUGAAAAACCUUUUUCCUGUUCAAUCUGUGGUAAAGGUUUUAGAGAAAGUAAACAUUUGAAAAGACACAUGAGAACACACACUGGUGAAAAACCUUUUUCAUGUUCAAACUGCGGUAAACAUUUUACUCAGAGGCCAGAUUUAAAAGUACACAUAAGAACACACACUGGAGAAAAACCUUUUUCAUGUUCUAUCUGUGGUAAAGGUUUUACAAGAAGUCAACAUUUGAAAGUACACAUGAGAACACACACUGGAGAAAAACCUUUUUCAUGUUCAAUCUGCGGUAAAGAUUUUACUCGAAGGGAAAAUUUCAAAAAGCACAUGAGAAUACACACUGGAGAAAAACCUUUUCCUGUUCAAUCUGCAGUAAAUAUUUUGCGCAACGGCACUAUUUGAAAGAACACGUGAGAACACACACUGGAGAAAAACCUUUUACAUGUUCAGUGUGUUGUAAAAGUUUUUUACAAAGUCAGCAUUUGAAAAGACACAUGAGAAGACACCCAGGAGAGAAAGUGUUGAGUUGCAGUGUGUGUGGUGAAAGAUUGUCUUCUAAGUAGCAGUGUAAGAAACACAAGUGUGCUGGUGAGAACAGCAGCAGCAAAUGAAACUGCAGGAUUUGAAAUAAACUGUCCAGACUUUCAUUUUGACCUUCUAAAAACAUCAGCACAUAGUUUCUAAGAUUUAUAGAUGAGGUAUUUUAGAUUAUUGCCUUUUUUCAGUCAAGUACUACACAUGACAAGUGUUUUUUAAAGUUGUUCAUGAUUUAUCCCCCUUUUUUAGAAUUCCUCAAACAUUAUCAAUUUCAGAAAACAUGGGAACGUUUGGAAUGUUUGGGAAAAGUUAAUUAUGUACAUCAUCCCACAGAGCUUUACUGUACAUCCAUCCAUUUGUUCUACCACUUGUCUCUUUCAUUUUAUAUGUAUAGCAUUUAAUCACAUACUUGUCCGCCAAAGGGUGUUGCGUUUUGGAGGAACUCCUUCUGUCAGAGUGCUGUUCACACUUCUUUCACUGCGGAAAUCUACUCACAAAAACAAUCCAAACAGUAGGAAACAAAAAACGAUGGUGCGAAAAAGAGAAGACUAAAUGUGCAUUUUGGAAAAAAUAACAAAAGCUACUUCUAUACACAAAUAAAGUCAACUUGGUUUGGAGUUACAAGACGUGCACACUACAAAACAACACCAAGAUGGAUGGCACUGGGAAUGGCCAAGGUAGCAAAAUACUCAAAGCAUGGAAUCAACUGGCGUGGAGUGGAAUCGCCGAGUGCCAUCCAGCUGUCAAGGUGCUGCUUAAGUAGCACCAGGGUCAAUUGGAAGCAGCUGUGCACGUCCCACAACUCCGCCCACAAAGGCAACACAGGAACUCUAGGAGGAAGGAGAAAUGUAAGAACAAGGUCAACUGCACCAAAAGACGAAAACUGACUGUUGGAGCCAAAUUUCCUUAUUUGCUUAUAUUGUUUUUAUUUUGUUUUCUCUGAUUGAUAGCUGGCUUCAGUUCAUGCUGAAUUUCCCUUUCUGCAGAUUGCUCCGCCCACUUCCUGUUGAGAACCAGGAAGUGUUGACAGGGAUGGGACUGUUGCUAUGGUGCGGUUGCCAUGGUAGCCUCCUUUAAUUGUGUUCAGCUGGGAACACUGGGGGGUGAUUGCAUGGAGGACAAACAGUUUUGGAGCGUGUGGUGUGGUGUGUGGUCAGGUCUCACUGCUGUGACAAUGUGCCAUUCAAGCCAAGUACUGGACAUUCAAUCAUCAAACUGGUCAACACAGUAUCAGUAUCAGUAUCAGUAUCAGCCCAAAGACUUGGACACAAACAGGAGAGAAAGUAAAAAGCAGCUUUAAGGAGGUCAAAACAAAAUGUAUGCAUUCUUUCCAACGGCCGCUGGGUGGCAGCAGAGGCUCCAUGUAUCACCUGAAGAAACAUUUGACUUCUGACCUUUCCACAUUAUUUCUCUCAUCUUUACUGCUGGAGUUCAGCUCACUGAGGAUGUAAGCUACAUUUUGGUAUCUUAAUUA